AUUGAACGCUGGCGGCAUGCCUUACACAUGCAAGUCGAACGGUAACAGGUUAAGCUGACGAGUGGCGAACGGGUGAGUAAUAUAUCGGAACGUGCCCAGUCGUGGGGGAUAACGUAGCGAAAGCUACGCUAAUACCGCAUACGAUCUACGGAUGAAAGCGGGGGAUCGCAAGACCUCGCGCGAUUGGAGCGGCCGAUAUCAGAUUAGGUUGUUGGUGAGGUAAAAGCUCACCAAGCCUGCGAUCUGUAGCUGGUCUGAGAGGACGACCAGCCACACUGGAACUGAGACACGGUCCAGACUCCUACGGGAGGCAGCAGUGGGGAAUUUUGGACAAUGGACGCAAGUCUGAUCCAGCAAUGCCGCGUGCGGGACGAAGGCCUUCGGGUUGUAAACUGCUUUUGUACGGAACGAAACGGUGAGCUCUAAUACAGUUUGCUAAUGACGGUACCGUAAGAGUAAGCACCGACUAACUACGUGCCAGCAGCCGCAGUAA
rnacentral:rRNA from 1 species